UCCUCUCUGUGCUGGGCCCUGUGUGCGUCGCAUGCCUGCUCCGCGGCACACAUCAGAACUGCCCCCGGGUCUUCCUGGGUGAGACUUUAUUGCCCUGGCCCUCACACUCUGCCUCCUCCUGUGACUGACAUCGCUGCCACCUCUCCCUGUUGGGGGCCACACCCAGCACCCACCACCUGAGGUCCCGGCCCGUGUGGAUGGGGAGGGCUCCUCGCUGCGAAGCCAGGGUGGCUGUGGAAAGCACCGCGUAGAGAGCUGCAGCAGCAUCUUGCUCUUCGUCCUGAAUGAAGCGGCUUUGUUCUGCUGCGCCCUGCCGCCAUGAUGCUUCGGCCUUGCAGCCGGCGGCCCAUGGACCAAACCUCUUUAAAACCUGAGCUAAAUGAAACUCCGCCUCCUUCAUGCUGCACUUGUCAGGGAUCCAGUUCGGCAGGGGGAAGCCGGGAAUACAGUGGCCUCUUGCAUGGUGGCGCCAGUCUCCAAAUGCAGGUGAGUGGAAGUGGCUAGGCCCCUUGUGGCCGAGAGCUGCUGCCCAGACUGCGCCCUCCCAGCUAAAGUGGGCCAGGCCACUGUGAUUGCCUCUGAGAAGCGGUGGUGUGGAGCUGAUGCUAUCGUCUGCUUUCCCUGGCUCUUCAGGAAGGUGGGUGACUUUUUCCACCAUCAGGACAACGCCUGCAGCUUAGCACCUCAGGGCCACAGGGAUGUGCUCUCACAGUUCCUGGGUCGUGAGUCACAGUGGGUCCCACUGGACUAAGGUCAAGACACUUGCCAGGCCACAGCCAUCUGCAGACCGUCGGGGUACAGGGACCCUUCCUUCCUUUAUUUCCUUUUUCAGAGUUUGAAGACCCCGGCUCCUGGCUGGUGGCCGCUUCCUCUAUCUUCAACGCCAACAUGGGAGUGCUAUUCAUUCCUCUCUCCUUGGACACCCCCCUCCCUGUUAUGGGGAGCACUGGGGUAAUCCCUGACAGCUCAGCGUCCACCUCCCUCUUACAGGGAGCUCUGGGGUGAUCCCUGGUAACUCAGUGUCCACCUCCCUCUUACAGGGCGCAUUUGGGUGAUCCCUGGUAGCUCAGGGUCUUCUCUCCAUGCCAAAGUCGUGGGCAGGUCCCUUUUGCUGUGCAAGGUGAAGCCACCUUGGGAAGCCAGGGUGUGGACAUCUUCAGGAGACCCUAGGAGGUGGGUGGCCCUGGGAGUUUGGGAGUGACUUAUUUUCCAGUUUUUCUCUCUGUCCCUCUCUGUUGUGCCAGAGACGUUCACUGCACAGAUUGCCAGCUCUGUGUGCCCAUUCGAGCUCACAGCAUCAGCUUUGAGAGCCAGCAUGAUGACGACAGGGUGGAGCAUUGGAGGGGAUUAGCAGUGCCCAUCUGCCAAGGUGCAGCGACAUGAGCAGGGGUGUGUGGGCCUGGGGAGAUGGGGCUGGGUGGGGAAGCAGCUGUGCAGGGAGGAUCUGGGACUCACUCUCCUGUCUGGCUCUCUCCCAGCCCCAGCGGUGCCUCCAGGGCCUUGCAGAGCCCAAGGACUUCCUGGUCUCAGUGGCCAGGGCAGUUGUGGCGAACCUAGGGCACGCAUGCAACCUGUUUUUCUUUUAAGACAAAAGCUGUCAAUGUGUGAGUCUUGUUUUUCUAAACUGAAACCUCAUCGUUCAGGUUGAAGGGCAGUGCUGGCCUUUGUGAUAAAGAAGAAGGUUUUGGGAGUCAGAGUAGGCAGUUGCUGCUAACAAGCAAACAACCCACAAUGCCCAGGUACGCUGAACAUCAGCUGAACAGGAGGGACAUACCUAAGCUCAAAGUCCUGAGUGUGCUCACCUGAAACUCGCGUGGCCCCCGAAGCCCAGCACCCCUCCCCACUCUCCUUUCCCACCGCAGCCCCCCACCAACCCAUUCCCUCAGCCCACCCGGCUCCCUCGGGCGCUUCCGCUCCCACCGCCACAGUUUCAGCCGCUUUGAGUUGUAUUUUUCUGUCAUAAGAGCAAUGCAUGUUCACUACAGAAAAAUCGCAGGUUAUGGAUAAGCAGUAAGAAAGAAGCAAGAAAACACUCAUAAUCCUCCCACGCGGUGCCGACUGUGACUCCCGCGGGUGGAUUUUUCCAGAGCUCUCUGUGCACGCGCAUGCGCGCGUGUGUGUGCAUGUGUGCUUGUGCGCAUCUUUUCGGGUCCACAGACCCCAUUCAGACCCUCUCCUGGUGAAGAAGGGCACUGCUCGGGCCACCUGCUGGGCUUCAGCGCCUGCAAAGGGAGGCUCAGGGAGGCUGGGCAAAGACUCCAGCGGACCCAGGGGCACCACAGGAAGCCCCUCAGGCCGGGCCUUGAACAACUCACAUCCUUCAGGGCCUCCCCGGGUCCCUCACGCGUCCUCACACAAUUCACUUGUCUGGAUCCUAAUCGCUUCCUUUGGGGUGCCAGGCCCACCCUGGAUUGGGGCCCACCCUGAUCACCCCGUUUUAACUUAAUCACCUCUUUGCCUCAUUGCUAAAUAUGGUCAUAUGCGGAGGAACUGGAGGUUAGAGCUUUAACAGCUGAAGUGGAGGGACAUAGCUCCCCCCACACAUCUUGGUCCACUUCCCCGAGAUCGUGGUGGGCCUGGGUGCCUUACUCCAGGACACAGGCCGAUGUCACAGUCACCCCAGGGAAGCUUCAGGGUGACCGACUGGCAUGCCCUUGCCACCCACCUGGCCAUGGACCCAGCCCUGACUAUUGCCUUCUGUCCUCACCGCCUGGAGGUGGUGCCUCUCCUCCUUCACCUGCUGGUUGGGUUAUUUCCCCCCCAGGUAAACUCCAGGGGGAGCUGCCAGUCACAGGGGUCGCCACCUGCCCAGAAGUGCCCCAGCUUUGGACAGUGGAUGGGUGGAUGCCCACCACACCGGGGCCUCGGAGGCUCCUCCUCUGGGCUCCUGCUGUCUUGUCUGAAGCUCGGGUCCCCACAGGCUCAGCGGAGAUGCCAGACUGGCUUCCCCAGCCCUGCCCCCUGGCCCCACUCUCCGGCUUUCUCUGUGACCUGCCACCCUCCUGCUCUCCAGUGUCCAGGGUGUUGCUAUGGCUCCCACCAAGGACGUCCUUUCUCCCACAUCUUCCUGCAGAGGGGCAAACACCACCUUUUCCAUGAACUGGCUGGCUGUUUGUGUCUUCUCUUUCUCCCUGCCCAAGGCUGAAUGGUACCGUGUCCACCUGGGCCUUGGAUGUUGGUGACAGUGAUGCAACAGAGGCGGACUCUCACCUCCUCCUGGCCAUGGGCCCGGCACUCUUGGGGGGACAAAGCCAAAUUCCCCACGCUCAGCAUCCAGGAUGGGACCAGACACAGGUCACACAGGUCAGACCUGCCCAGAGGACACUCCUGGGGAACAGCACAGGAGUGUGUGUGGGGACGAGGGGGCUCGGGCCACAAAAAGCUGUGUGUUUCCUGUGACAUGUUUCCUGACAGCUUUGAUCUUGCAGAGAAAGACAUCUCACAUCAGCCGCCUGGUCACACGCACAGUCACACAUACAGUCAUGUACGCUCAGAAACCAAAGUGGCUGCAAACCGGUUCCCUCGGUGAAAUAUACACAGAUAUUUUUAUUGUAUUUGCUUCUUCAAAAUGCUUGACUUGCUCAGAUAAAUUGAUUUCAGGACUCACCGCUGGGCCUGCUUUGCAGUUUGAGAAAUCUCACUCUCAUCGAGGAUUUUGUUUUCUGCUCUAUGUUCUGUAUUUAAAAUUUAAUAAUGAUGAUGGAUUUA